UCUGUGAAAAUCCGAGAAAAAAACUUUUAAUCUAUGUUUUUGGUUAAAAGACGCAUAGAAAAAAUGUCAAAAUCGUCCGGCAUUUUCAGCCACCAUGUUUGUUGACAGUGACAAAAAAAAUAUUUUUCGUGAAAAUGGCGAUGGUUAUCUUUAAAACCAUACUGUCGAGAAUGAAAAGUUAUGUUAAGCAAAAAAUAUUUUGACAGUGCCCAACUUUGCUUUUUUAUAUGUAAGUUUGAUUAUUGUUUAAUUCAAUUUAUUAUUCAAAAUAAUAUUGAAUACCGUAAUUCACAAGAGUUCGGACACCAUAAAUUAAUUAUUUUUUUCGCUCUCCGAAUACAUAGAAAUUUAUCAUUUUUACAUUUUAUUUACAUGUUUGUUUAACCUGCCUUUUUUCUUCAUGUUUGCUUUUUACCACUUAUUAAUUUAUCCGUAGUAAUCAAUGGUCAUAAACUUAUUGUAAAUCCUUAAUGAAGUUAAUUAAAACACCAUUUUAUACAUGCACUGAACUGAAUAAACAGAUUCUAUCGGCUUCAGAUCAAAGAGUCACACUGUGUGACGUCACAUAACUUACAGUUAUGCCCACGAGGAUCUCUUGGAGAGCAUGGACAUUGCUAUGCAGGAUUAAUGUAUAACUGUACGAUUAUUGCUUCAUAUAGUCUAUACCGUAAUUGUGGUACAAGUUUGAAAGCUUAUUGGCAGAUCGUUUUACAAACAUGCCAUGUCGAUGUUUUCUUAAUCCCUUGAUUGCCCUUGUUGUUUGUUUAAUCCUCAAAUAAAUAUAUCACACUUCCUUUUCAACAGGCAAUAAAUCGUUUAGGAUGGGUAGUAACUAAUUAAAUUGUCACAGUGGUGUAUACGGUUAGGUAAUCUAGCCAGGCAGUGUAAAGAUAAAAAUCAAUAUUCUUCGUCUGUGAAACUUGGUAACUAUGAAAGUUAUGAUUGAUGUCCUUUGGGUGUCCGAAAAUUAGGUACGCAAAAUAAAUUAUUUUGGGAAAUAAUUAUGGGUGUCCAAAUAUAAAAUAUUUUUGUUGAAAUUAUAAACGUCUUACGAUAUACCGUAUCCCGAUCUUCAACUGCCGUUUUAACCCGUAUAUACUCGAUCAAUAUGACGCGAGUAACAUCCCUUUCUACAUAAAUCUAAACAAACUCUCGGCUUGAAAUUGACAUCAGAAAAAAAGUUCAAAAAAUUGUUACUGGGUAUUAUACGCAGGCAUUUUUUUGCAUCAAAAUCUGAGGGAAAAAAGUGCGUCUAAUACCCAGUCAUUUACGGUACAAACUGCUGCGAUGACAGUGUUGUUCCUUCCAUUAUACCACAUGUUUGAAAUACUUCGCCUAAAGUGUUGAGAACAUUUACAUAAGUAUACAAUUGCUUUUACUAUUCGCAACGACAGCAAAACAAUUGAGGGUUUAGAGGAGAGGGACAUCAGGAUGACAGAAUGAAAUUCCUGAUUAUUAAUUAUUUAAUACAGUAAUGCAAUUAACCAUUAAUCAGCUUUGUACCACUUUGUGUCAUUGUUAUUUGAAUAUUUUUAUCAUUUAUGUACAUGGACUGUACUAUUUUAUAAACUUUGCCAUUCCUUUAUUCAAUACAAUUCGUCAAAACAAAUACGGUGGCUGCCGACUGACAUUUUUCACUGGGUCAUAUUGUAUGAAUUUUUUUCCAGGAUUUUUCUCGUGUUUUUUUUGCCUGCAUCCUAUCUUUGCUAGUGUCCUAUACACAGUGAUAUAGAUGGUAUGCAUAGAAUAGUAGAACAUUUGGGGAAGAUUGGGCGAUUGAUCUAGUAUUGCUUUACUUUUGCUAAAGCUAUUUUGUUGUUCCAUACCCAGGUUACAAGGAUAAUAUUGUGUGGAUACAACAUAAUCUUAACCAGGACUGCCUCUGACAAGGAAGAGGAAGGCAUAUAUUUACUGGGGUGAUAAAUUUAAAUUUUAAAAAAGAUAAUUUAAUACAUUGUCAGCUUGACUAUUCAAAGAAUUAAGACCUUGGAUAUGUGGUCCCAACUAUCCAACCUACCUAAUUCAUCAAAUCAUAUUUUAAGUAUCUCCCAUGGCUUGUGUAAGAUAGGUUCAUUGAUUGACUGAUUGAUUGAUAAAUGUUUAAGUGUUUAUACUUUUCGGGACGUUUUCUACCUUUUUUAAGGCUGCUAUCAAGUAACUACAUGCUUUGGGUAACAAGGCUUCCAAUUUAUAGUUGUUAUUUUUCCUUAACAGACAUAUCUAGUUAGUUUUUCAGUCAUCAGUGUCUGACCCAAAGAACGACUAAAGUUACAUGUUUCUGCAUUUUUGACAGUACUCAUGUAAUGAUUGCCUCACUCUUUUGUAGGCAUAUUUCAAGUAAAGUUUCCAUGAGCUCAUGGUCAUUUUCAGGUAUCUGAUGUUGUGUGUUGGCAGAAAUGCAGAGUGGUACCACCGGUCACCUGAGCCACCUUUCCCCUCACAGACGAGAGACUCGUCUGUCAGUGACAGUAGUUUCCAGAGUAGCACUGAAUUGCAUGAAGCCUUACAAACUUAAGCAGCCAUCCACUGACAGGCUGGAGUGAUUUGGAUUUCCGAUGCCACAUUUACCUUUGUGCUCAGUGACAAGCUGGCGCUUAGCUGCCAUGUCUGAUGAUCCUCAUUGAGUUUAAUGGUGUUUCUACUGGCCUUAUCAUCAAGUCUCUGCAUAUGACUUCUUGCAGUAGCUGAGAUAUCCAUAUAUGUGAGAAGCACAUUUGCCUUUGUUAUUCCAGCAGGCAUUUCCCUAAACCCAGAACCAAGAAACGUGUUUAUUGUGGCUCCCUUGCCAUCUUUGCACUCGCUAUACUGGCGUAAGUUCCGGUGCACCAGGCAGGUCUUCCUCAUUUGGAAUCCACAUCUUCAGCUGAACUGCGGCAAUGAAUAAAAUCAGACUCCUUAGCAGCAUGGGCUUCACAGUCUUGGAUGAGAGCAUGGCUUGGGUAACAGAUGCUGGGAGCCAGUCACAAGAGGAGGAGGUCGGGACACAGAUGCUGGGAGCCAGUCACAAGAGGUGGAGGGCGGGACACAGAUGCUGGGACCCAGUCACAAGAGGUGGAGGGCGGGACACAGAUGCUGGGACCCAGUCAUAAGAGGUGGA